rnacentral:misc_RNA from 1 species
AAUUAAAUUUGUUACAGUUACAUUUGUUAUUUGUUGUCAACAGUUAAUUUUAGAUAUUGAUAUGAAUAAAUAAACAAUAUUCUGUUUAAAUACACAAAGACAGACAGAAUCAAACCAAGAGAGAAACUCUCAACCGUACCAAAUAUUCUCUAUUGUAUCUUCCCCAUUCAACAUGAUAUUGACGAAAUUUUUUUAUUAUAUUCAAAUGGGCUUCAGACGCACCUUCGAUUCGUCACUUUACAAAUAAAAAUUUUCCAAGUGAUUAUUAUUUUUAAAAGUGUGGCUACAACCAAUUCGGAAUGUAGAUUCGGCAGAGAAGAAUCGGCAAGAAACUCCGCAGUUACUCCUUUGAAAAUAAUAUAAAAAUUGUUGUAGUAUUCAAUUGAUAUUACUAGAAAAUAUCAAUUUUAUGGUAUUGUGUCAUGACAGCUGUAAGCUUUUUUUUUAAAUUUCUAUUUUGUAACUUGAGUAAAAGAAACAACGCAU